rnacentral:lncRNA from 1 species
GGAGGGAGAAAUCAUAUAUGAGAUAAAAUUGUUGAAUUACAGCAGUGGGUAUUACAAGAGAAACAUCCUCCACAUGUGAUGAAUAAUCUAAAUAGUUUCUUGACAUUGAAACUAAAAUUGAAAGCAUCCAUCAACAUCCCAAAACUUAACUAAAACAUAACCAGGGAACAUCAUCCCUACAACUUAAUUAAAACUGGAAGCGUCCAUCAUCAUAAUCAGCAUCAUCAUCAGGAACUUCAUCGUCAUAAUUGCAGUAUACUUGUCACACACCCAUAUAAUGAUCCAUUUAUCUUUUCAAUCUACAAACAAAAAGCAAAACGAACUGUUAACACACAAUGCAUUGAAAUGAUGCAAGUAGUGACAGAGGCAGGAUAUUAGUCGCGUACAAAUAUUACUGAAGUUGUAACCAUGAAAGAAUUGCAAAGCUUAGCUUGUAAAUACCUAAUUUGCAAUUUAAGUUCCUACCCUCAUACAAAUGAAAUCCACAAGUAUAUCGCUUUUUGACAAUGCAAGGAUCAUCCUCUCAGCCUUCGCAACAUAGCAGACAGAAUUUUCUUCAAACAUCAUAAAAAAAUAUAGUAAGAUCAUUGUACUAUGCAUACUGAAGUUCACACCGUUCUAAAGCAAAUAAACAGUGUUUGUGUUCAAUUAGCCUGAUCAAACCCUUGAAGAGUUACAAAUAUAUGCAUCUGUCAUUUAUCGAGUUUACUCCUAACAGAAAAUUGUGAACUUACUUCCACUAGAAUUUUCAUCUACUUUGUAUAUCAG